rnacentral:rRNA from 1 species
UACGAAGGGUGCAAGCGUUACUCGGAAUUACUGGGUGUAAAGCGUGCGUAGGUGGUUCGUUAAGUCUGAUGUGAAAGCCCUGGGCUCAACCUGGGAAUGGCAUUGGAAACUGGCGACCUAGAGUGCGGUAGAGGGUAGUGGAAUUCCCGGUGUAGCAGUGAAAUGCGUAGAGAUCGGGAGGAACAUCCGUGGCGAAGGCGACUACCUGGACCAGCACUGACACUGAGGCACGAAAGCGUGGGGAUCAAACAGG